CAGUAGCCGCGGGAAAACGAAGGGUACAAGCGUUACUCGGAAUUACUGGGCGUAAAGCGUGCGUAGGUGGUGGUUUAAGUCCGUUGUGAAAGCCCUGGGCUCAACCUGGGAAUUGCAGUGGAUACUGGGUCACUAGAGUGUGGUAGAGGAUAGUGGAAUUUCCGGUGUAGCAGUGAAAUGCGUAGAGAUCGGAAGGAACAUCUGUGGCGAAGGCGACUAUCUGGGCCAACACUGACACUGAGGCACGAAAGCGUGGGGAGCAAACAGGAUUAGAUACCCGAGUAGUCCCUGUCUCUUAUAC
rnacentral:rRNA from 1 species